rnacentral:rRNA from 1 species
AAUGAACGUUGGCGGCAUGGAUUAGGCAUGCAAGUCGAGCGAGAAGUGUAGCAAUACACGGAAAGCGGCGGAAGGGAGAGUAAUACGUGGGAAUCUGCCCUUAGACCUGGGAUAGCAGCGGGAAACUGCUGGUAAUACCAGAUAAUGUCUAUGGACCAAAGGUGUGAUUCCGUCUAGGGAUGAGCCCACGUCCUACUAGCUAGUUGGUAGGGUAAUGGCCUACCAAGGCGAUGAUGGGUAGCGGGUGUGAGAGCAUGACCCGCCUCACUGGGACUGAGACACUGCCCAGACACCUACGGGUGGCUGCAGUCGAGAAUCUUCGGCAAUGGGCGCAAGCCUGACCGAGCGAUGCCGCGUGCGGGAUGAAGGCCUUCGGGUUGUAAACCGCUGUCGAGGGGGAGCAACUUCCAUAGAGUUAUCUUUAUGGAUUGAGUGAUCCCUGGAGGAAGGACGGGCUAAGUACGUGCCAGCCGCCGCGGUAAAAC